AAUCAUACGAUAAACCUUGUUCAGUUUGGUGUUGUUUGUUUUCGAUAUACAUCACUGGGUGAAGUUUGUCUUAUCCU
rnacentral:pre_miRNA from 1 species